rnacentral:antisense_RNA from 17 species
AGGAAGGCUUCCACGGCUUGUUCGUUGGGGGCCUUUUUCUUUUGC